rnacentral:rRNA from 1 species
UAAUACGGAGGGGGCUAGCGUUGUUCGGAAUUACUGGGCGUAAAGCGCACGUAGGCGGACGGAGAAGUCAGAGGUGAAAUCCCAGGGCUCAACCUUGGAACUGCCUUUGAAACUUUCUGUCUUGAGGUCGAGAGAGGUGAGUGGAAUUCCGAGUGUAGAGGUGGAAUUCGUAGAUAUUCGGAGGAACACCAGUGGCGAAGGCGGCUCACUGGCUCGAUACUGACGCUGAGGUGCGAAAGCGUGGGGAGCAAACAGG